ensembl:lncRNA
CCCACCACUGCGACCUGUAUGCUCUAGUCGGCUGGCCCUCGUUACAUAUUCGUCGCCAGACCCACUGGCUCCAGGUCAUCUACAAGUCCAUGCUAGGUAAAGCUCCGCCUUAUCUCAGUUCACUGGUCACGAUGGCAACACCCAUCCUUAGCACGCGCUCCAGCAGGUGUAUCUCACUGAUCAUCCCUAAAGCCAACACCUCAUUUGGCCGCCUUUCGUUCCAGUACUCUGCUGCCUGUGACUGGAACGAAUUGCAAAAAUCGCUGAAGUUGGAGACUUAUCUCCCUCACCAACUUCAAACAUCAGCUAUCUGAGCAGCUAACCGAUCGCUGCUGCUGUACAUAGUCUAUUGGUAAAUAGCCCACCCAUUUUCACCUACCUCAUCCCCAUACUGUUUUUAUUUAUUUACUUGCUAUUUUGCACACCAAUAUCUCUACCUGUACAUGACCAUCUGAUCAUUUAUCACUCCAGUGUUAAUCUGCAAAAUUGUAAUUAUUCGCCUACCUCCUCAUGCCUUUUGCACACAUUGUAUAUAGACUCCCCCCUUUGUUUUCUACUGUGUUAUUGACUUGUUAAUUGUUUAUUCCAUGUGUAACUCUGUUGUCUGCUCACACUGCUAUGCUUUAUCUUGGGCCAGGUCGCAGUUGCAAAUGAGAACUUGUUCUCAACUGGCCUACCUGGUUAAAUAAAGGUGAAAUAAAAAAUAAAUUAAAAAACACAUACCUUUUUCCAGCAGCAGACUAUGAUCGUUAAUGUCAAAAGCCGCACUGAAAAAAAAAAAAGCCUCCACAAUCUUAUCCAUUUUUUUCAGCCAAUCAUCAGUUUAGUGAUCAGUGUAAGUGGCUGUGCUUGUUGAAUGUCCUUCCCUGUAAGCGUGCUGAAAGUUUGUCAAUUUGUUUACUGUAAAAUAACAUUGUAUCUGGUCCCCCCCCAAAAUCUGAAGUUUAUUAACAGGCUGAUUAGUCGGCUAUUUGAGCCAGUAAAGGGGGAUUUACUAUUCUUGGGUAGCGGAAUGACUUUUGCUUCCAUUCAGGCCGGAGGGUACACACUUUCUAGUAGGCUUAAAUUGAAGAUGUGGCAAAUAGGAGUGGCAAUAUCAUCCUCUAUGAGUAAUUUUAAAUCCAGAUUGUCAGACCCCAGUGGCUUGUCAUUGUUGAUAGACAACAACAAUAAUUUUCACCUCUUCCACACUCACUUUACGGAAUUCAAAAAUACAAUGCUCAUUUUAAUUUUUUUGGCAGAUAUACUUGGAUGUAUAGUGUCAGCAUUUGUUACUGGCAUAUCAUGCCUAAAUUUGCUAAUCUUGCCAAUGAAAAAGUCAUUAAUGUAGCAAUAUCAGUGGGUUUUAUGAUAAAUGAGCCAUCUUAUUCAAUGAAUGAUCGAGCCGAGUUUGCUUUUUCCCCAGAAUUUCAUAUAAGGCACUCUAAAGCGUUUUACUAUCAUUCUUUAUAUAAUUUAUUUUUGUUUCAUAGUAUUGUUGAUUUUUAUUUAGUUUAGUCACAUGAUUUCUUGAUUUGCAGUACGUUUGCCAAUCAGUUGGGCUGCCAGACUUAUUUGCCAUACCUUUGGCCUCAUCCCUCUCAACCACACAAUUUUCAAUUCCUCAUCGAUCCAAGGGGAUUUGACAGUAUUUACAUUAAUUCUUUAUAGGUGCAUGCUUAUUAGUAACUGGAAUAAGCAAUUUCAGAAAUGUGUCAAGUCUGGUUGCUCCUCAAUUCACUCCACAGACCAGCAAAUAUUCUGCCAACAUAACAUUCAUGACAAAACUUCUUGUGUGACCUCAACAAGCUUCCAUUCCCCCUGUUACAAGGGAAUUUAUGGCUGAUUUAAGAAGAAAUCGUCAACCCCUUUACUGUCAACUCUUACUUUAUUUGCACCUUGAUAAUCACUUUUUUUUACCUCUUGAUUUGGAUAAACAUGCUUUUUUACGAACAUGUGCUCUUCAUGUUAAAAUUAAGUUUAAGUUCAAUUUUAAGUUACACUUGUCAAAAGGCACUGAAUUGAUGGAACGACCCAUCUGUGAACAUGUUUUUUGUGUCUGCCUAGUUAAAUGAUUUUUUUUUUUUUUUUUUUUUUAACUGUCAGAAGAAGGCCCACACAGAAAGCAAACAGAAGGAAACCAAACACUCACUGUCGGUCUAAGUCUUUUCAACUGCGAAAGUAGCUGUCUGAACCCAACCUUAAAACACCCAGAGCCAUAGAACUGACAAGAGAGAUGCACAAAGGAAAGAAAAAAUGUGAUGCACAAUGGCAUGAGGGAAAGAUCGAAGACAAAAAUAGAAAGAGGAUGUGUCAUUUUUAGACGCAAGGCCCCUCCCUCCACCCACGUUUCGCUGCUGUUGUGUGGGCGUCAGGACAGCAUGCAAAUAUUUUUACACUUUCACACUCCUCUACAUACACUCUCUGUCUAGAGAAAACUCUCACACUCAGCCUAUAGUCCCAUAGCGCCCAUAGAGUCAUUCUAAGGUAACUAUAAUAUAAGGUGAAUGACAAUUUGAAAAGAGAGAGGGAGUUGUAUGAAAAAUGGAAUGACUCACCAUACAACUCAACAACUGAGCAAAGACAUCCCAUCAAUUUCAACUAAAAUACCAAAACAUCAGGAACUAAGUAGUUGAAGCAACGCCAUGAAAGGCAGGGAAAGACCAAUUCAAAUUCCCUCCACAGAGCUUCCCUCGUAUAGCAGAAUCCCAGUGCUGCCAUCACUAUUGGUGCGUUGAGUGUAACCGGGCGGCAUAUCAGCGGAUAUUUGUAACCGCUGGUGACUAUGAUAAACUAUGCUAAUGAAGUAUAACCCGUUGGGCGCUCCCCUGCACAAACAUAGGCCCAAGGGAGAGUCAACAGGUGGGAGCUCCGUUUAAGUGUGUUCAAAAAAAGGGCAACAGGUUGCUGGAUGUCAGGGGUCUUCCAGUAAACAGACCUCCCACGGCAGGCAACCUGCAGAGGAGGGAGUUUACCCACACCACCGCCCAGCCAAUCUAAGUAAUAACUCUCUGCCCACAGUGACAAACACCUCCUUCAGACCCAGAGUUGGUUUACAGUUGACAAAAGCCUCCCAUGUGUUCCCACUCUGCCUUGGCCAGUACACUGCAUGCCAUUAUGCAAAAAUAGUGUUGUACUGUAGGGAGAGAUACUCUAUGACCUUAACACCACCAGUGGUCAGAACCUGGUAAAACCAGGAUGUAUGAUAGGUUAAUGUCCCAACUCUGAACAUGGACAAAAAACAAUCCCCAAAUUCAAUGAGAAUACAUUACAUUGGAUAAAGAAACAACACUCCAGGCUGCAGCUCCAACCUACUUGUCAGACAUAGAGAACUGAUACUGCAUACUUAUUGGGUUGGGAUUGGAGUAUCCGUGGGUGGCAUUUGACUAUUUCUUUAGAUUCCAAGUCUUACUCAUAACCACGUUUGCAGCCACAAAAGUCAAAUUGUAUAAAACAAC